UAAAUAACCUAGGAAUUUUAAACAAAAAUCUUUAAUGUUUCAAAAAACUUAUUCUGUUUAAAAUAAAUUUAAAAAAAAAGAAAAUAAGGAAACCAAAGCAGAAGACACUUCCGUCUCCUUUCUCACAAUCUCACGAAUUCUCUAUCAAACUCAAAGAAUCUCUCUCUCUCAUCGUCCUCAACCUUCGCUUAUCAACCUCAGAAGACACUUCCGUCUCCUUUCUCACAAUCUCACGAAUUCUCUAUCAAACUCAAAGAAUCUCUCUCUCUCAUCGUCCUCAACCUUCGCUUAUCAACCUCAACGAAACCUCUCUCACACCACGUAGCCACUUCCGUCUCAAUCUCCCUUUCGCUCUCAAUCUCACUCAAUCGUC
rnacentral:lncRNA from 1 species